GAUGAACGCUGGCGGCGUGCCUAACACAUGCAAGUCGAACGGGUAUACGAUGAGUUUUCUCCUGUGAGGUUGGCGGGGACCGGGGGGGUAACACGUAGAUAACCUACCUAUAAUUCUGGGAUAACUUCGGGAAGCCGGAGCUAUUAGCGGAUAAUAUGUUGUACCGCAUGGUUCAGUAGUGAAAGACGGUUUUGUUGUCACUUUUAGAUGGAGCCGGGCCGGAUUAGCUAGUUGGUAAGGUAACGGCUUACCAAGGCAACGGUGCGUAGCCGACCUGAGAGGAUGAUCGGCCACACUGGAACUGAGACACGGUCCAGACUCCUACGGGAGGCAGCAGUAGGGAAUCUUCCGCAAUGGGCGAAAGCCUGACGGAGCAACGCCGCGUGGGUGAUGAAGGUCUUCGGCUCGUAAAGCUCUGUUAUUGGGGAAGAACAAAUGCGUGAGUAUCUAUGCACGUUUUGACGGUACCUAAUCAGAAAGCCACGGCUAACUACGUG
rnacentral:rRNA from 1 species